rnacentral:ncRNA from 1 species
AAUGGAAUAAUGUAAGCAAGGAAAGUUAGCAAAAUGAUCCGUAACAUUAAAAAAGGAUUGACUCUGAGGGUUGGGCUCGAAGGUCCUAGCCCCGAACCCAUCGGCUACCGGCAGGCUGCUCGAGCUACUCCCGUGGUGUAAUUAGGCCGCCGCAUGCCGGUCGGAGGACGGAUCGGUAAUGGUCCUCUCAGAGGCCUUUCCCGGGCGUCGAACUACCAACUCAUAACUAGUACAGACAAGGGAAAUCAAAAUGUUUAAUUAAAAUAAAGCAUUGUAAUGGUGGUCUUUGCAAAUUCUGACGCAAUGUGAUUUCUCCUUGGUGCUCUGAAUGUCAAAGUGAAGAAAUUCAACCAAGUGUAGGUAGAUGGUGGGAGUAACUAUGAAUAUAUUAAGGUAACCAAAUGCCUCAUCAUCUAAUUAGUGAUGGGCAUGAAUAGAUUAAAGAGAUUCCCACUGUUCCUAUCUACUAUCCAAUGAAACCACAACUAAGGGAAUGGGUCGGCGGAAUCAACGGAAAAGAUGACUCUGUUGAGCUUGACUCUAGUUCGACUUUAUGAAAUGACUUGAGAGAUGUAGAAUAAGUGGGAGCCUUUGGACAAAACGAAAUACCACUACCUUUUAUCUUACUUAUCCCAUAGAUCAUAAGCAGGAUAUCGCCUUUUUUUUUCUCUAAGCCCUAGCUCUGCCGAGCCUAUCUGGAUGGAAGCUAUUGUUAUAUGGGAAGUUUGGCUAGGGUGGCACAUCAUCCUAGACGACGAUGCAACUGUUCGACUAGAUCUUUCGCCACACAUCCUUCUACCACCUCCCCUCCCUAUCCAUCCGCCCCUUCUCCAUUAUUAUCCGCCGGACCACAAUAACCCGUGACCGGUCAUGCGAAAAAUCAAAUGUGCGACCCCUUCGACCAAUCACAUGUAGACACAACAAGCAAGCCAAUAUUUAUUUGAAAUCAGCAUAACCAAUACACGUUGCUUUCGGGCUGACGUUGUCGGUGUACGAACGUCGCUUUCGGGCAGCUUCAAGAAAUUGACAUAUUUUUUUUAAAUGAGCAUACCUCUCUCGCCACACUACUACAGAAUAGGUCAUUAGUGCCAUCUUAUUAGUACCGGGUGAAAAAGGAACUGGCACUAAUAGUCGUAAAACACUAUAGCGAUUAUAUCAGUGCCGGGUCAUAUCCACAACCAGCACAGAUAAGGCCAGUAGAAAUUUUUUCCCGCGCAGAGCUUGACUAUCAGUGCUAGUUAUUUAUCUACAACCAGCACUGAUAUAAACAUUAUCAGUACCGGGUACAUAUAUAAACCCGGCACUGAUAAGGCCAGUAGAUGUGAAGGUCCUGCGUGGGAAAAUAAUAGAGGGUAAGUUAAAUAUGUUGGUUGAUAAUUUGAACCGGCACUGAUGUGUAUUUUUAGUGUCGGCUCCUAUUUUUCAACCGACACUGAUAGUCAAGUUUAUAUAUACUCCCAACACUCCUCUACAGAAUUCCCAGCGCGUGGAGCAAGAAUAGAGAGGUGCUCUGUUUUUGCUCAUUUUGUUGAGAAAGGGAGAUAUUUUUUACUCCCAAAUUUGGUUCGAACCAUUUGAAGUUCUAAGGUUAGUAUGCCAAAGGAGCUUCACUAUCAAAUGAUGGCAGUUUAACCUUCAAAAGCAAGAGAGAUGACAAAAUAUUAAGGAAGAUUGCCAAGGCGCAUACAUAAGCGUCCUAGGGCUCCUACCAGCCACAAAGGGAAGACGAUGAACUAACAUGCGUCCUAGGUACGAAAGAGCACCCUGGUCGGACCAGAGGGAUAGGUGUGAUGCCCUAGAAAGCAGCGUUCCCAAAGGAUGCCGACAUUUACCACGCCGAUCCAAAUGUACCAGAGAAUCACGGUUGGAUGCCCGUGUACAAGAGAUAAUAGAAGAGAGAUUGAGGAAACAACAGCAGCUCAAUGACGAAAUUAUGCAAAAAAUGAUGGAAGAGAUGGAGAAGCGGUUGAGUCAAUCAUGUGAAGAAGGCACGCAACUCCAAAGCCCCCUAGGUGCACUUAAAAGCAGCUAAGCGUUAGUGUGCCACCCUAACAUUGAAGAUACAACUUCUUUUCACGUCGAUGCAAUCAAGCAACCGACACGUUGCACACUGUACAUUCCUGUAGCGGGCACAACCAUCAAGGUGGCCGAAGGGAUGGCUUGGCCAUGCACCGUGGGGCAGCUCCUGCAUAACCGCCCACUUUCUAAGGGAUACCGUCGAUAUCCUAUACUGGAGAUGCCCCUCUUUUCGGCCCAACAAACAACAAAGGCCUGGCCCGGCGCGGAAACACCGGCCCAGCAAGGGCUCCCCCAGCCAACUGGAAAUCUUCUUAGGCCCAGUUGGCCUCCGCGGUGCCCGACCUCGAGGUCGGGCAAGGAGCGCGCCGACCCCCGACACGAACUCGGCGACGGCCCGAUGAAAUGACGUC